rnacentral:rRNA from 1 species
AUUGAACGCUGGCGGCAUGCCUAACACAUGCAAGUCGAACGCGAAAGUCCUUCGGGGCGAGUAGAGUGGCGGACGGGUGAGUAAUGCGUGGGAAUCUACCUCAUAGUGGGGGACAACCCGGGGAAACUCGGGCUAAUACCGCAUACGUUAUACGGAAGAAAGGGGGCCUCUGCUUGCAAGCUCUCGCUAUGAGAUGAGCCCAAGUCCGAUUAGCUAGUUGGUAGGGGAAAGGACUACCAAGGCGACGACCGGUAGCUGGUCUGCGAGGAUGACCAGCCACACUGGGAAUGAGACACGGCCCAGACUCCUACGGGAGGCAGCAGUGGGGAAUAUUGGACAAUGGGCGCAAGCCUGAUCCAGCAAUGCCGCGUGUGUGAAGAAGGCCUGCGGGUUGUAAAGCACUUUCAGUGGGGAAGAAAAGCCUGGGGUGAAUAUCCCUGGGUCUUGACGUUACCUACAGAAGAAGCACCGGCUAACUCCGUGCCAGCCGCCGCAGUAACAC